rnacentral:RNase_P_RNA from 1 species
CAGCCGGAUAGCUGCGCCGUGAAAGCGGUGAGGAAAGUCCGGGCUUCAAGGAAACAGGAUACCGGAUAACGUCCGGCCGGGGAAACCCGAGGGAAAGUGCCACAGAAAAUUACCGCCGGACAGGUCUCCGGUAAGGUUGAAAAGGCGGUGUAAGAGACCACCGCGGAACCGGCAACGGUUUCGGCCAGGCAAACCCUAUCCGAUGCAAGACCAAGUUAGGAGGGUUUUGCCUUGUGCAAAAUCUCGCGGGGGGUUUCCAACCCGCUCCAGAGGUAGGUCGCGACGAGCCUGGCAGCAAUGCCCGGCCAAGAUGAAUAGCUAUCGUCCCGCAAGGGAUACAGAACCCGGCUUACAGGCUGCCUGU